UGCUUUCAACGCGACCCCAGGUCA
rnacentral:rRNA from 1 species